UGGGGAAUAUUGGACAAUGGGCGAAAGCCUGAUCCAGCCAUGCCGCGUGUGUGAAGAAGGUCUUCGGAUUGUAAAGCACUUUAAGUUGGGAGGAAGGGCAUUAACCUAAUACGUUAGUGUUUUGACGUUACCGACAGAAUAAGCACCGGCUAACUCUGUGCCAGCAGCCGCUGUAAUACAGAGGGUGAAAGCGUUAAUCGGAAUUACUGGGCGUAAAGCGCGCGUAGGUGGUUUGUUAAGUUGGAUGUGAAAUCCCCGGGCUCAACCUGGGAACUGCAUUCAAAACUGACUGACUAGAGUAUGGUAGAGGGUGGUGGAAUUUCCUGUGUAGCGGUGAAAUGCGUAGAUAUAGGAAGGAACACCAGUGGCGAAGGCGACCACCUGGACUAAUACUGACACUGAGGUGCGAAAGCGUGGGGAGCAAACA
rnacentral:rRNA from 1 species